UUUUAAUUCAUUGACUGCGAGAGCCCCAUACUUCUGGAGCAUUUUGACUGAUGUUUCAAGACCCACAGAAUAUUGAGUUCUAUGACUACAUAAACAUUGAAACUAUCAAAAGAAAGUGUAGACUCUCUUCUUUCAUCAGG